AUUGAACGCUGGCGGCAGGCUUAACACAUGCAAGUCGAACGAGUGGCGGACGGGUGAGUAAUGUCUGGGAAACUGGCUGAUGGAGGGGGAUAACGACUGGAAACGGUCGCUAAUACCGCAUACCAUCAGAUGAGCCCAGGUGGGAUUAGCGUGUUGGUGGGGUAAAGGCCCACCAAGCCGACGAUCCCUAGCUGUUCUGAGCGGAUGACCAGCCACACCGGGACGUGUGCACGGUCCAGCGUCCUCCGGGAGCAAGCAGGGGGGAAUAUUGCGCAAUGGGGGCAAUCCUGCUGCAGCCUGGCCGCGUGUAUGAAGAAGGCCUUCGGGUUGUAAAGUCCUUUCGGUGGGGAGGCGUUACCCGCAGAAGAAGCACCGGCUAACUCCGUGCCAACAGCCGCGGUAAUUC
rnacentral:rRNA from 1 species